GUUCCCAUGCACAUCAUUUCUCUUUUCUACUUCGUUUGCCAUAUCAAAGUCCAAAAUCUUUCUACAUGAAUUUCUUGCUUGUUCAAAAUUCUGAUGAAUAAUUUGCCGAUCGUUGGUAAACUUUCCCCUUUGCAUGAAGUUAUUUCCUCACAGAUUACAAGCUUCGGAGGUAAAGAUUCUGGAGUACGAAGUUUUGGAGCUUGGGGACUCAACUCUGGAGUCUUG
rnacentral:lncRNA from 1 species